GUGGCUCAGCAGGUAGAGUGCUUGUCUGGCAUGCAGGAAACCCUGGGUUCUAUCCCCAGC
rnacentral:tRNA from 1 species